GCCUAGUUAGCUUAGUUGGUAGUGCGUCUGCCUUGUAAGCGCUAGGCCGCGGGUUCGAUUCCCGAACGGGGCG
rnacentral:tRNA from 1 species